rnacentral:rRNA from 1 species
GUGGGGAAUAUUGGGCAAUGGGCGAAAGCCUGACCCAGCAACGCCGCGUGAAGGAAGAAGGUCUUCGGAUCGUAAACUUCUAUCCUUGGUGAAGAUAAUGACGGUAGCCGAGAAGGAAGCCCCGGCUAACUACGUGCCAGCAGCCGCGGUAAUACGUAGGGGGCAAGCGUUGUCCGGAAUGAUUGGGCGUAAAGGGGGCGUAGGCGGCCUGGUAAGUCUGGAGGGAAAGUCCUGCUUUUAAGGUGGGAAUUGCUUUGGAUACUGUCGGGCUUGAGUGCAGGAGAAGUAAGUGGAAUUCCCGGUGUAGCGGUGAAAUGCGUAGAGAUCGGGAGGAACACCAGUGGCGAAGGCAGCUUACUGGACUGUAACUGACGCUGAGGCGCGAAAGUGUGGGGAGCAAACAGGAUUAGAAACCCCGGUAGUCC